UAAACCAUUUUUUUUUUAAUAAAAAUAAAUAAAUUUGAUCUGAAGUUUGCUAUUACCAAUUAAGGCAUUCAGAAAGUUUUUAUUUUCGUGCUUUUGUGAUACUUUUUCAUUCCCUCGCAAUGCUGAAAGAUCCUCCAUUCUACUAUCGCUAAGAGCAACGGCAUAUUGUGGUAAAAAAUAGAGGCUCACUAUUAUAAUAACAACUUUUGUUGCAGCAUACAGUGCCUCUGAGGAAUCGCAUUGCAACUUUCAAAUUUAUUGCCACCAACCAGAAUUGAAGCCAGCUUUUAUUAUAUUACAGGACAGUUAUAGGGAUUUGAAAAAUAGUUUCUUUCCCCUCAGUGUUCCGGCAGAUGCUGCAGCAGCUUUGGAAAUACGCACCUACAUUUUUUGCAGUACCUUAUUUUUACAGCGCCAACCCCAUGGAGAAUAGAUACAUAAAUAUUCUCUUCUCAGGUGUUUCGGUAGCAUGCACUAUGGCAGGUACUCUGUGAAAGUUAGUAAAAUCUACCAAACGAAUUUUAUGAGUCACGAGUCCAAAUAUUACGAGCCAAUUUUCUUAUCUUCAAGUUAAGAUUUAUGGGUAUACCAGACGACCAAAUUAGAUUUGAUACAUCAAUGGCUGCACAUGGUGCACACGUUCGUAUCUCAGUGCAUGCAAUAUCAAACGUUUUUUCUAAUAGUAGCCGCCUCUCAGCAGACAAUUACAAACCUUAGAAUGUAUUUCUGCCAUGAUUAAGAUCCUCAUAAAAACUCAUUUGCCGUUCAGAGUCGGCUUAACACUAAAAACUGUUGAAGGAGGAGCUCGGGUAAAUACCCAAUGUAGAGUUUAAAAGCCAAUUAUAUGUGUAUUGUUCCGGCAGAUGCUGCAGCAGCUUUGGAAAUACGCACCUACAUUUUUUGCAGUACCUUAUUUUUACAGCGCCAACCCCAUGGAGAAUAGAUACAUAAAUAUUCUCUUCUCAGGUGUUUCGGUAGCAUGCACUAUGGCAGGUACUCUGUGAAAGUUAGUAAAAUCUACCAAACGAAUUUUAUGAGUCACGAGUCCAAAUAUUACGAGCCAAUUUUCUUAUCUUCAAGUUAAGAUUUAUGGGUAUACCAGACGACCAAAUUAGAUUUGAUACAUCAAUGGCUGCACAUGGUGCACACGUUCGUAUCUCAGUGCAUGCAAUAUCAAACGUUUUUUCUAAUAGUAGCCGCCUCUCAGCAGACAAUUACAAACCUUAGAAUGUAUUUCUGCCAUGAUUAAGAUCCUCAUAAAAACUCAUUUGCCGUUCAGAGUCGGCUUAACACUAAAAACUGUUGAAGGAGGAGCUCGGGUAAAUACCCAAUGUAGAGUUUAAAAGCCAAUUAUAUGUGUAUUGUUCCGGCAGAUGCUGCAGCAGCUUUGGAAAUACGCACCUACAUUUUUUGCAGUACCUUAUUUUUACAGCGCCAACCCCAUGGAGAAUAGAUACAUAAAUAUUCUCUUCUCAGGUGUUUCGGUAGCAUGCACUAUGGCAGGUACUCUGUGAAAGUUAGUAAAAUCUACCAAACGAAUUUUAUGAGUCACGAGUCCAAAUAUUACGAGCCAAUUUUCUUAUCUUCAAGUUAAGAUUUAUGGGUAUACCAGACGACCAAAUUAGAUUUGAUACAUCAAUGGCUGCACAUGGUGCACACGUUCGUAUCUCAGUGCAUGCAAUAUCAAACGUUUUUUCUAAUAGUAGCCGCCUCUCAGCAGACAAUUACAAACCUUAGAAUGUAUUUCUGCCAUGAUUAAGAUCCUCAUAAAAACUCAUUUGCCGUUCAGAGUCGGCUUAACACUAAAAACUGUUGAAGGAGGAGCUCGGGUAAAUACCCAAUGUAGAGUUUAAAA